rnacentral:rRNA from 1 species
ACGCUCGACACCUACGGGAGGCAGCAGUGGGGAAUAUUGCACAAUGGGGGAAACCCUGAUGCAGCGACGCCGCGUGAAGGAAGAAGUAUUUCGGUAUGUAAACUUCUAUCAGCAGGGAAGAAACUGACGGUACCUGACUAAGAAGCACCGGCUAAAUACGUGCAAGCAGCCGCGGUAAUCUGAGCGGGCUGGCAAGGC